AGUGCAGGUCUGCAGGAAGGGCCUGCCUCCACUCAUGCAGGUACCUGGGAUCACCUGUCCAUUGGCUACACUGCCCUUUAGGGCCUCCAAAUCCCCAGCUGAAUUAUUCCCAUCCAUCUAGUAGGAAAGGAAAAAAGAAUGUUGAAGGAUCAUGCAAAAUGUUUUAGGGGCCAGUCCUGGACGUAAAAUAUGUUACAUUGGCUAGAAUGCUGUUACACAUUGCCACCUAUUUCAAGAGAUGCUGAGAUUUGGAGUCUUCUUGGGUGCCCAGAGAUUUGAGUAUCACCUAGCACUGUUUCUGCUUCAGGGAAAUGGAAGUAGAACUCUGAAGCUAAAUCAGAGGACUCCAAGCAAAUGAAGUGACUGAAAGCAAGAAUGGCUCAUUGCCCUUGAGCUACACAGAAAUGUAUAGGUGGGUGUAUUGGGUCGGUUCCCUGGAAGCACAACCUCAGAUGGGGAUUCUUGUGCAAAAGAUACACGGAGGAAGAGCUCAAGGAAGUAACUUGCAAUGAAGCAAGGGGAGCAAGCUGGAGCAGGAGAAAAGAUCAGGCAAAGGCAUGCUUUCAGAAGUCUAGCCUCGGCCUCAUCCACAGGGAGCUCCAGAGAGUGAAUGGUACCAUGCAGCUGGUCAACCUUCUUGGAGGAGGGAGCUGCUGAUAGCCUUCAGUAGACAGCACUUGCACUAGCCAAGGGAUGAGUGCACCAGCCCAGUGGAGGGGAUCUGGGUAGAGCACCUAUGCCAUCUGCUAUAAUAGGAAGGACAUGCUUUUCCUUUUCGUAUCCUCUACCUGAAGCAAUAUAUCACGUACUCAGCAGACGCUCAAUAAGUGUUUGAGAAAUGAAGAAACAAAAAGACAGAGGGAAGGAGAGAAGAAAAGAAACAAGAUUACAGAAAAUUCUAAAAUACUCUUGGGCUCCAAGAAAUGCAUCUUCAAAUAAGGAACUUCACAUACUUAUGCUGAGCAAUGAGAGAGAUAUUUUGAGAAACCUGAAAAAAUAAGAGAACUUUGAGUUUUCAGUGCUCUGGAAAUGGCAAAAAGGUAGGAUAUUUUAGUCAUGCAUUGGAAAUUAAAAGAUUGCCUCCCAUC
rnacentral:lncRNA from 1 species